rnacentral:rRNA from 1 species
GGGAACGAUAACGGCGUCGAGCGGCGUGACGGGUGAGUAAUGCCUAGGAAAUUGCCUUGAUGUCGGGGGAUAACCAUUGGAAACGAUGGCUAAUACCGCAUAACGCCUACGGGCCAAAGAGGGGGACCUUCGGGCCUCUCGCGUCAAGAUAUGCCUAGGUGGGAUUAGCUAGUUGGUGAGGUAAUGGCUCACCAAGGCGACGAUCCCUAGCUGGUCUGAGAGGAUGAUCAGCCACACUGGAACUGAGACACGGUCCAGACUCCUACGGGAGGCAGCAGUGGGGAAUAUUGCACAAUGGGCGCAAGCCUGAUGCAGCCAUGCCGCGUGUAUGAAGAAGGCCUUCGGGUUGUAAAGUACUUUCAGCAGUGAGGAAGGGGGUGUCGUUAAUAGCGGCAUCUCUUGACGUUAGCUGCAGAAGAAGCACCGGCUAACUCCGUGCCAGCAGCCGCGGUAAUACGGAGGGUGCGAGCGUUAAUCGGAAUUACUGGGCGUAAAGCGCAUGCAGGUGGUUUGUUAAGUCAGAUGUGAAAGCCCGGGGCUCAACCUCGGAACUGCAUUUGAAACUGGGCAAACUAGAGUACUGUAGAGGGGGGUAGAAUUUCAAGGUGUAGCGGGUGAAAUGCGUAGAGAUCUGAAGGAAUACCAGUGGGCGAAAGGCGGCCCCCUGGACAGAUACUGACACUCCAGAUGCGAAAGCGUGGGGAGCAAAACAGGAUUAGAUUACCCUGGGUAGUCCACGCCGUAAACGAUGUCUA